rnacentral:tRNA from 1 species
GGGUGGUUAGCUCAGUUGGUACGAGCACUGCCUUCACACGGCAGGGGUCACUGGUUCGAGUCCAGUACCACCCACCA